rnacentral:rRNA from 1 species
CUCAUGACGAACGCUGGCGGCGUGCUUAACACAUGCAAGUCGAACGGAAAGGCCCUGCUUUUGUGGGGUGCUCGAGUGGCGAACGGGUGAGUAACACGUGAGUAACCUGCCCUUGACUUUGGGAUAACUUCAGGAAACUGGGGCUAAUACCGGAUAGGAGCUCCUGCUGCAUGGUGGGGGUUGGAAAGUUUCGGCGGUUGGGGAUGGACUCGCGGCUUAUCAGCUUGUUGGUGGGGUAGUGGCUUACCAAGGCUUUGACGGGUAGCCGGCCUGAGAGGGUGACCGGCCACAUUGGGACUGAGAUACGGCCCAGACUCCUACGGGAGGCAGCAGUGGGGAAUAUUGCACAAUGGGCGGAAGCCUGAUGCAGCAACGCCGCGUGCGGGAUGACGGCCUUCGGGUUGUAAACCGCUUUCGCCUGUGACGAAGCGUGAGUGACGGUAAUGGGUAAAGAAGCACCGGCUAACUACGUGCCAGCAGCCGCGGUGAUACGUAGGGUGCGAGCGUUGUCCGGAUUUAUUGGGCGUAAAGGGCUCGUAGGUGGUUGAUCGCGUCGGAAGUGUAAUCUUGGGGCUUAACCCUGAGCGUGCUUUCGAUACGGGUUGACUUGAGGAAGGUAGGGGAGAAUGGAAUUCCUGGUGGAGCGGUGGAAUGCGCAGAUAUCAGGAGGAACACCAGUGGCGAAGGCGGUUCUCUGGGCCUUUCCUGACGCUGAGGAGCGAAAGCGUGGGGAGCGAACAGGCUUAGAUACCCUGGUAGUCCACGCUGUAAACGGUGGGUACUAGGUGUGGGGUCCAUUCCACGGGUUCCGUGCCGUAGCUAACGCUUUAAGUACCCCGCCUGGGGAGUACGGCCGCAAGGCUAAAACUCAAAGGAAUUGACGGGGCCCCGCACAAGCGGCGGAGCAUGCGGAUUAAUUCGAUGCAACGCGUAGAACCUUACCUGGGUUUGACAUGGAUCGGGAGUGCUCAGAGAUGGGUGUGCCUCUUUUGGGGUCGGUUCACAGGUGGUGCAUGGCUGUCGUCAGCUCGUGUCGUGAGAUGUUGGGUUAAGUCCCGCAACGAGCGCAACCCUUGUUCACUGUUGCCAGCACGUUAUGGUGGGGACUCAGUGGAGACCGCCGGGGUCAACUCGGAGGAAGGUGGGGAUGACGUCAAGUCAUCAUGCCCCUUAUGUCCAGGGCUUCACGCAUGCUACAAUGGCUGGUACAGAGAGUGGCGAGCCUGUGAGGGUGAGCGAAUCUCGGAAAGCCGGUCUCAGUUCGGAUUGGGGUCUGCAACUCGACCUCAUGAAGUCGGAGUCGCUAGUAAUCGCAGAUCAGCAACGCUGCGGUGAAUACGUUCCCGGGGCUUGUACACACCGCCCGUCAAGUCAUGAAAGUUGGUAACACCCGAAGCCGGUGGCCUAACCGUUGUGGGGGAGCCGUCGAAGGUGGGACUGGU